CAGUCGCCACGGUAAUACAGAGGGUGCAAGCGUUAAUCGGAAUUACUGGGCGUAAAGCGCGCGUAGGUGGUUUGUUAAGUUGGAUGUGAAAUCCCCGGGCUCAACCUGGGAACUGCAUCCAAAACUGGCAGGCUAGAGUAGGGCAGAGGGUGGUGGAAUUUCCUGUGUAGCGGUGAAAUGCGUAGAUAUAGGAAGGAACACCAGUGGCGAAGGCGACCACCUGGGCUCAUACUGACACUGAGGUGCGAAAGCGUGGGGAGCAAACAGGAUUAGAUACCCCCGUAGUCCCUGUCUCUUAUAC
rnacentral:rRNA from 1 species